rnacentral:rRNA from 1 species
CCUACGGGCGGCAGCAGUGGGGAAUAUUGCACAAUGGGGGAAACCCUGAUGCAGCGACGCCGCGUGAGUGAAGAAGUAUUUCGGUAUGUAAAGCUCUAUCAGCAGGGAAGAAAAUGACGGUACCUGAUUACGAAGCCCCGGCUAACUACGUGCCAGCAGCCGCGGUAAUACGUAGGGGGCAAGCGUUAUCCGGAUUUACUGGGGGUAAAGGGAGCGUAGACGGUGAUGCAAGCCAGAAGUGAAAGCCCGGGGCGCAACACCGGGACUGCUUUUGAAACUGUGUGACUGGAGGGCAGGAGAGGUAAGCGGAAUUCCUGGUGGAGCGGUGAAAGGCGUAGAUAUCAGGAGGAACAACAGGGGCGAAGGCGGCUAACUGGACUGUAACUGACGUUGAGGCUCGAAAGCGUGGGGAGCAAACAGGAUUAGAUACCCGUGUAGUC